GGCUGGGGACCUGUCCAUCCGACUCCAGAACCAUGUGACUGACCGCUGCGCCACACUGCCUUGGGUACAGGAGGCCAGGGUCCCGGCCCACACCCUCCUGGCUCAGAGAGGCCACCUGCAGCCCCACGGCUGUGAGCUUCUCAGCAGGGAACUCAGACGCCAGGCGCUGCAGGCAAUACCGCCCUCCAGCGCCCACCAGGAUACAGGCCCGGCAUCCUUGAGAUCUUCAGGCACAGUCUCAUAGACUUCCGGGCCAGCAAGGACCUCUUUAGGGCUGCUUCUCCCUCGGUAAAGUGUGCUAGAUAAUCAGGAAAAUUUGAGAGCUGAAAACUUGGAUUCUCAGACUGUAGGAAUUCCUUUAUACGUGGUGCACAGGGAGGAGUCCGGCUGCUAUAUAUGGAGUACUGUUUGCUAGGCUCUGUGCGUCUCAUAUAUGAUCACACUGAACCAGCAGCCCAUUUUGCAGAGGAGGAAACUGAGGCUCAGAAACAUGACAUCACUUGCCCCAGGUCACACUGCAAGUUGAGGAGGAGCUGAGAUUUGAACUCAGCUCUGUCCAGCCUCCAAGAGGGUAUCUUCCAAGCAUCACCUUGCACAGGAGAAACUGGCCCAGGCAGGGCAGUGCCCUUGCAGUCACACAGCGAGACUGUCAGCCAGCCCAGGCCCGGAGGCCUCCUCACUCUGGCCUGGCCUCUGCCCCAUUUGGGGAAUACUGCCUGUCCCCACUUCACCCACAAAAUGUCUGUAGGCUGCAAAGGAGCCAACACGUUCCCAGCAGCUCGUGAAAAACAUAAUCUUUCUCUCCAUUAAUUUAGAAGCCGA